rnacentral:tRNA from 1 species
CGAGAAGGUCUACGGUUCGAGUCCGUAUAGCCCUGUGUAAACGAGGUGCUCUACCAACUGAGCUAUAGCCCU